ACUGCCCUUAGAGACAUAGCAGGUUUGGAUACUGUGUCACAUGUGUGUCAGUAGGUGGCAAAGAGGAAAGAGGCUAUGUAUAUCUAUGCUCAGUGUUCUGACUUGUAACCAUCAGAAUGAUUAGUAGCCUAAGAUU
rnacentral:snoRNA from 1 species